rnacentral:rRNA from 1 species
GUCUACGGCCAUGCCACCCCGAACAAGCCUGAUCCCGUCUGAUCUCAGAAGCUAAGUAGGGUCAGGCCUGGUUAGUACUUUGAUAGGAGGAUGGGAGACCACCUAGGAAGACCAUGUGCUGUAGGUG